AACGAACGCUGGCGGCGUGCCUAACACAUGCAAGUCGAACGGGAUUAGGGGCUUGCUCCUAAUCUAGUGGCGCACGGGUGAGUAACGCGUAGAUAAUCUGCCUGAUGAUCUGGGAUAACACUUCGAAAGAGGUGCUAAUACCGGAUAAGCCCACGGGUUCUUUGGAAUCUGCGGGAAAAGGGGGGGACCUUCGGGCCUUCUGUCAUCAGAUGAGUCUGCGUACCAUUAGCUAGUUGGUAGGGUAAUGGCCUACCAAGGCGACGAUGGUUAGCUGGUCUGAGAGGACGAUCAGCCACACUGGAACUGAGACACGGUCCAGACUCCUACGGGAGGCAGCAGUGGGGAAUUUCGCGCAAUGGGCGAAAGCCUGACGCAGCAACGCCGCGUGAGUGAUGAAGGCUUUCGGGUCGUAAAGCUCUGUCAAUGGGAAAGAAGUGUAUUGGAGCUAAUAUCUCCGAUACUUGACGGUACCCAUAAAGGAAGCACCGGCUAACUCCGUGCCAGCCGCCGCGGUAA
rnacentral:rRNA from 1 species